rnacentral:rRNA from 1 species
AUUUGAUAGUACCUUACUACUUGGAUAUCCGUGGUAAUUCUAGAGCUAAUACAUGCGUAAAUCCCCGACUUCGGAAGGGGUGUAUUUAUUAGAUAAAAAACCAAUGCCCUUCGGGGCUUUUUGGUGAUUCAGAAUAACUUUUCAGAUCGCAUGGCCUUGCGCCGGCGACGGUUCAUUCAAAUUUCUGCCCUAUCAACUUUCGAUGGUAAGGUAUUGGCUUACCAUGGUUUCAACGGGUAACGGGAGAUUAGGGUUUGACUCCGGAGAGGGAGCCUGAGAAACGGCUACCACAUCCAAGGAAGGCAGCAGGCGCGCAAAUUACCCAAUCCCGACACGGGGAGGUAGUGACAAUAAAUACUGAUACAGGGCUCUUUUGGGUCUUGUAAUUGGAAUGAGUACAAUUUAAACCUCUUAACGAGGAACAAUUGGAGGGCAAGUCUGGUGCCAGCAGCCGCGGUAAUUCCAGCUCCAAUAGCGUAUAUUAAAGUUGUUGCAGUUAAAAAGCUCGUAGUUGAAGCUUGGGUCUGGCUGGCAGGUCCGCCUCACCGCGUGUACUUGACCGGCCGGGCCUUUCCUCCUGGAGAAUCUCAUGCCCUUCACUGGGCGUGCUGGGGAUCCAGGACUUUUACUUUGAAAAAAUUAGAGUGUUCAAAGCAGGCCUUUGCUCGAAUACGUUAGCAUGGAAUAAUAGAAUAGGACGGCAGUCUUAUUUUGUUGGUUUCUAAGACCGCCGUAAUGAUUAAUAGGGACAGUCGGGGGCAUUAGUAUUCAAUAGUCAGAGGUGAAAUUCUUGGAUCUAUUGAAGACUAACUACUGCGAAAGCAUUUGCCAAGGAUGUUUUCAUUAAUCAGUGAACGAAAGUUAGGGGAUCGAAGACGAUCAGAUACCGUCGUAGUCUUAACCGUAAACUGUGCCGACUAGGGAU